rnacentral:lncRNA from 9 species
CAAAGAGUCUCAAUUCCAGCUGACCCUGCAAAGAAGGAUUGUAGCUUGCAUAAAUGGUAACAUCAAUUAUUAUGCUUUCUAUGCAGGUGACAAAUACUCAACCCAAACUAGCUAAGCCAGAAAUGGAGUUUUUUUUUGGCUCACCUAACUAGGACAUCCCAAGGGGGUCUGGCACCAUCAGGCAAAGAUUGAUCCUGGGUCCAAAAGUGCUGCUAAGCUCUCUCCAUCUCCAUUGUUCUCCUCUACAGCUCCAGUCUGACUUUCCAGCUUUGCAGUGUGGGGUGCUGUUGAGGGGCCUCCAAUCCCCUCACUCUCUUCCUGGUGUUAAUUUUCUGACUGUGCCCUCUGUCCCUGGUCAGACCCAGGGGAAGGGGGUGAGUCCGUUCUCCAGUCCAGCCUGGGGAGAUGCCGGUGAGGGCUGCUGUGGGGGUGACUCCCCCACACGGGGGACCCUGGAUGAAGCCUGUGCCUCUUAGCUUCCUGCACUGUUUCUAGAAGCUGGCUCACCUCUUCAGCAGCCCCACGACCAUAGACUAACCCCAUGACAAUUUGAGCCCCUACUGUGUGCCAGGUAUUGUGGUAUGACAUUUUCAGACAUGGGCUUAAUUAAUCCUCACCACACCUCUGGAGAUCUGGGCCUCGGUCAUUUCAAGCAGGAAAACCCCUGCUCCCUCACCGUGUCCUCUCUCCUCCUUCCUCCUUUCUUCAGCCCAUCUUCCCUGUGAGCAGAGAGGCGAGAUAAAUGGAGGACAGAACCCUUUGAGCUGAGAGUUCUCGGGGCUGGUGGGCGUGUUGUUGUAGAGAUGAGGAAACCAAGGCCUGGAGACAAAGAGCAACCCGCAGCAGAAGGCCCAUCGAGUUCCUGAGAGGUGGGGACAGGAGCCCCAGACUGGCAUCCUUCCACAGCCACACACAGCCUGGUUGCAUUCACUGAAGUCUGGGCAGGGAGGCUACAGUGACUGACCAGUCUUCUGCUUGAAGUGAUUUCCUGCGAGAUAUCCAGCAUCUUUUGUGUCAGGGUCUCCAGGGGGAAGAGGGGGGACUUGGCGGCCAUUGCAGGAUUGGAGGGACAUUGAGGAG